UACGUAGGUGGCAAGCGUUGUCCGGAUUUACUGGGCGUAAAGAGCGCGCAGGCGGCUGGUCAAGUCCGACGUGAAAGCUCCCGGCUUAACUGGGAAAUUGCAUCGGAAACUGAUCGGCUUGAAGGUGGGAGAGGGUAGUGGAAUUCCCGGUGUAGUGGUGAAAUGCGUAGAUAUCGGGAGGAACACCAGUGGCGAAGGCGACUACCUGGCCCACUCUUGACGCUGAGGCGCGAAAGCUAGGGGAGCGAACGGGAUUAGAAACCCCCGUAGUCC
rnacentral:rRNA from 1 species